UUGAAUGAACUUAGAGUCGGUUGUCGCUGGCUGUCUUUUACAGCAUGUGCACGCCUUCUCUUUUCAUCCACACACACCCCUGUGCACUUGUGAGACUGGAGGCCGUAAAAAAGCCUUCAGUCUGCUAAAUUCAUAUACAAACUCAUUUAAUUGAACUGAAUGUACUUGAUGUAACGCAUCAUUGAAC
rnacentral:misc_RNA from 1 species